AAAGUGCGGGAGAGACUAGUUUUUUAGCGCCGAAGGAAUAAGUCAUAGAAUUUGCCAUUCUAUGAUGAUGAUCUCAGGCAAAAGGACCGUGCUU
rnacentral:ncRNA from 1 species